UACGUAGGGGGGCAAGCGUUGUCCGGAUUUAUUGGGCGUAAAGAGCGUGUAGGCGGCCAUACAGGUCAGCUGUGAAAACUCGAGGCUCAACCUCGAGACGUCGGUUGAAACCGUAUGGCUAGAGUCCGGAAGAGGAGAGUGGAAUUCCCGGUGUAGCGGUGAAAUGCGCAGAUAUCGGGAAGAACACCCGUGGCUAAGGCGGCUCUCUAGUACGGUACUGACGCUGAGACGCGAAAGCGUGGGGAGCGAACAGG
rnacentral:rRNA from 1 species